GCCAACAUCUCUCCAUUCCAUUAUCUGCAUGAAACAGUACAACACUUUAGAAGGAGGGGGAAGAAAAGAAAAAAGUGUCUUGCAUCAAAUGAAUCUAACUUUAUGUUCCUCUCUGCCAUACCAUGCAAAUGACUGAUCUAACUAAUCCUUUCAAUAAAAUUAUCAUAGUGAAAAUCAAUUAGGUAGCCAAUCGAUAAUCAGUCAAAAUUACAUUGACUACAUCCAUAUAUGAGCUCCACUGAUGCUGAUUGUAGUUUAGGAACACAUUAGAGUUGUACACCCUUAAUUGCUCUGUUCUCAGUAUGGAAGAAGAAAAGGAAAAAAUAGGGAGAAAGAUAGAAAGAGAUAGGAUUGAAGCAGAAAGAAAACAGAGAGAGAAACAUUCUGAAAUGUUAUUACUUCUUAGCAUAGUUAACAUCAGUCCACAAUAGCGAUAUUUAUACAGCUUAUGUAACUACAGUAACUAUUCCCGCCAAUUCAGCUCCUCUUCUAACUUCUGCUACAGCUUUAUUCUACUUCCAACAGUCUUAACUACUUUCUUAACUACUGCUAAACCAUCUUCUUUUUAUAUCUAGACCUCUUGUAUGUAACAGAGAACUACUUGUAGUUUGACACACAAAAAGGAAUAUCUAUGGCUGCACAUCAUGAGUCUACAUACAUAAACACACAUGCAUAAUAAGAGUAUAUAAGCAGGACCUGAAGUGGACUUAUCAAAUACCAUGCUCAUUUUUACUCAAAAGUGAAUUGGAACCAUGCAUUCUAGGUAAUUAUUAAAAUGUCCUAGAUGGUUGUAACAUAUCAGACUAUUUCAGUUGCAAUGUUCACAAUAGUGAAAUUCUUUGGGUGGCAACUGCCAAACACAUGCAAGCAUAUACCCUAGCCUUAAGCUGCUUAAGAGAAUUCUCUGCUGAAAUUGAAGAUUGUAUCUAGGAUUCUAGAUGAAUCUUCAUUGGACUUUGCUUUGUGACUGGAUCUUUAAUCAACAUUCAAAUCAAGAAAGCAAUAAAUAAGAAAUCAUGAAGCAGUACAUGGCAGCCAAAAUUGAAAAAAAAAAAAAGGGUUUUAAAUCACUAUUCUACCAGAGCCUCAGAAUCCAUAAGCUUAUGCCACACAGAGUAUAAGCCAUUUGUUGUGAAAAGUGAAAAAUGAUCUUGAACUUUUUGACCAUCCACGACUUUCUGUUACAAUCUUAAAACAUGUACCUAGAAUCAACUUAUGCUGUGGUUAUAAUGUGCUAGAAUAUUUUUAGGAAAUUAUCCAAUUGCAGAAUCAUUAUAAUUUCAAAGGCAUUAAAAUAUAAUGCCAAUCCUAAGCCAAUAUUCUGUACCAAGUCAGAUCCUUGUAGCAUUAACUUAAAGAACAUUAUGUAGUAGGAAUGAAGUGUCUCCAAUCACAAAUCCACAACACCCCCCACCCC
rnacentral:misc_RNA from 1 species